rnacentral:tRNA from 1 species
GCGGUGUUAGUCCAGCCUGGUAGGACGUCAGCUUCCCAAGCUGAAGGUCGUGGGUUCAAAUCCCGCACACCGCA